AGACUUAAAAACACGAAUAAAUAAGUUGAAAAAUAGGAUCCCUCAACAGGGAGGGGAGGGGCCCGAGUGGAGUGCAUAAAUAGGAGCAGGGAGGCAGGGAUCUCAUUUCUGCCUUGUCUCCUGUACGAGCAACAUCUCCUGACUCCACACCCACUCUAGCCUUGUUAUAGUGCCUCUACUGCCUGAGGAAGACACAUACUGUGAAACGUCGCGGCUGAGGCACUCCUUUUCUUUUUUCAUUUAAAUUCAUUUUUUUUUUUUUUCCCCAAGAACAGAAGCAGUGCUGCAUACACCACCAUCGACCCAGACCUCCUGAGAGCAGCUCAAAUGCCGGCGGUGAAAGUAAGCACCAUGCGGUCGAAACACAAGUCUGGAAUGCAGCCUCUCGUCUUCCACCACGACUUGGAGUGCGCAGGCCAAGAGCAGGUGAAGCGCAGGAUGUCCAGAGGGCUUAUUGAACUGUCUGAUGAGGGCGAUGAAGUAAUGGAGUCGCACGCGACACGUGCCAGGGACCUCAAAGGCGUGCACAUGGAGGGGUUACUUCUAUGAGAGUGUAGCUGAGGACUACAAGAGCUACAGGCUGGGAAGCAAAACACGGAGGAAGGACAGGGACAACGCGCAGAGCGUAGCCAGACACUGCUUAGUCUUAUGCGCAUAUAUGCUUGAGAAGAAGGAUUAUGAUGACGACGACGACGUAGACGACGAAGACCACAGUGUUGGGUCCCCAGCUGCAGCAACCAACGACUUGACGUUCCUGUCCAACAUCGAACGACUGAGAGAUUUUCCGACCUCUUACGGUGUGUUCACACACAAGGAUAAAUAAAAUGGGUUGUGAACCAUCAGUUUGAGAGACCAUCUUUUCGACCGGGGACGCUACAGUCCAUUUCCUGGACACCGCCAAGCAGUGCAUUUCACAGCUGUUUGGUAAGUCGCCCAUGCUCUAUUUAUUUAUUUAUUUAUUUUUCAUUUAUGGAUUGAUAGAUGGAUAGAUAGAGCGCUGUCAUCUGAUUUAUUUAUUCAUUUAUUUAUUUAUUUAUUCCUCUCUCAGCAUCUCUUGUCAUUGUGUUCAACCUGCCUGUUGCCAUUUUGACUGGCUGUUUCUGUUUGCGUUUCUGCCUCCCACCCACAGACAGCCUACUUUGGUACAACGACACAACAUUUGUGACCGAACACAAUCUUUUGAUGGGUUACAUCAUGGGCUACCUGUCCAUCAUCAGUGGGCAUCGGAGCACUGUCAUCACGGAGAUGGAGUCGUCAGACCACAUGGACGCCGACUCCUGGAACAACGGUCGGGUGUGGCAAAUCUUGGCAAGUAGCCAGGCCUCUUUUGGAGUCCUUGGACCCCUUUCUCUUACCAAAACUCUGUGUGUGUUGUGACGUCGGGUUUUAAAAGACCAUUGCAGUUGCAUUUAUUGUCGUCUUCACUGAAAAAACGGUUCUAUUGUCACUGUUUUUUUUUUCUCUCUCUCUCUUCCCUCCUGCACCUCAUCCUGCCUGUCUGGCUGCUUGCUUGCUGGCUUCCUGCUUGAUUGUGGGAGUAACUUCUGUUUCCUUCUCUGUAGGUGGGUAAUCACAAAACUGACCGAACGCACGGGCACGCCUUCAUUGUCUUAAAAGAUUUUCAGAUGGUCUGGCUGCAGAAGGUGUGCAGGAGUGACUGUUGCAACCGGGGGAUGCGACCACUAUUCAUGUUACAUAUGGUGUUGGGUUCGCCAGUGUACAAGGGCAACACAUACCUGGCAGACGCAUGAAGUGAUGCUGGUUUGGAGAACCCUGUGACGUUCGGCACCAUACGGAGCAGUGUGGCAACCCAAGUGGAGCGACAUCUGUCCUCGGGUGAUCGGAAGAGGGUGGCCUCUGCGAUGUGCCACGACCCGUAGACGGCAGACAAGUUCUACGUAGCCCUUCCAGGCCGAGAAGAAGCCUACCGUGCGAGAACGCUCCGAAUGAAGGCUCUCCGCAUCGAGGCCAAGACGCCCUGCGCAGACGCAGACAGGCAAGACCCCGCCGAAGUCCUCGCACCCACACGCAGCCGGGGAGCAGGCCCAGGGUCGACUGGAGCAAAGUCGUCGUGGAUUCCCAGAGGCCCAGCACCAGCAGGGGCCCGGCCGCACCAGGCACCUCCACCAGCUGGUCUGUCGGCUUCAAAAGGGCACCGUCCACACGUGCCGCCAGGUUCCGGCGAUAGACCCUUCCUGCUCCGUGCAAGGAUGCUGCUUCUCCCCGUGCGCGCCGCCCCUCUCCGAGUGAGCAGAUCCAAUUCUCCUUUUCCUCCGCUGACGAGUUUCCCGAGAGAGACGCCGGCAGGCCCACGAGGGCAGAUGCGCGCGAAGAGGCCCCCGCAGCACAACCCAAGUCCAGGGCGUUGCGCACCAGAGCAAGCGGGCGUGGUGGCAUCCCCACAGCCACACCACCACGGCAGCCGGCACCCCGGGUCGCUGCCCCAAGAUCACGUCAGACCCAAAGACUCGUGAGAGGAAGCUGGGGUUUGUCUGACCUUGUCAAGGCACGGAAGCUGCGGCGGGCACGGCCUUCGUUGGCCCGCAAGUGUCAGUCGGCGCCUGUCCCAAAGUGAGGUGGAACUCUCUGCGUUUAUCCCAAUUCACCUUGUUGAGAAUUUGAGUUUUGAAAGGGUCUCGCGGACUGGAAGGGUUGCGCACCAUUUGCCAACAGAUGUUGUCGUUCUUGUGGGUUUUUGUUUUGGGGUCUAUAUUCUAGUAGUAUAUUUGUGUUUUUAAUAUUACAUUCUAGAUUUUUAAUAUGAGUGAUAUAUAUAUAUAUAUAUAUAUAUAUAUUUAUAUAUAUAUAUAUAUAUAUACAUAUAAGUACCCCUACAUACCCAUAUGAAUACCAACAUACAUAUCCACACAGAUACAUUAUUUAUAUAUACGAGAAAUUUUAGAAUGAAGUCAAUGUGUUAUGGUUAGAAAAUAAAAUAGAGUGGUUAUGGUUAGGGAAAUAAGAACCGGUAAUGAUUAAAAUAAAAUUCCAUGGUUAAGGUUAGAAGGGAAGUACCAAUUCGACAUCGUGUGUGUGUGUGUUUGUUUACUAUGUUGUAUUUAUGUUGUGAUUUGCGUGUCCAAAUAUAAUUUUAGGAUUAGGGUUUGGAGAACAGAAGGGGGAACCAAGCCCUCUAAGAUGGCAGGUUCAGUGCACACUCCAUGCCAGCCCCCCAGGGAGCAGAGCGCCCCCCCCAUCCCAAGGGUUAGGGACAGGGUCAGUGCACGCUCCAUACAGCCCACCCCCCUGGGGUUAGGUUUUACCUUAAAAAAAGCAACAAUGUUGAGUAACUUGGACAGCAAACGGUUAACACAGUAGCUCAGUCACUAAAAUGCUAAAGAUGGUACUUAAACAUUUUGAAAACUAAGCCAGAUCCUACUAAGUUUGAUAUUAGCAAAUUAUACAAUCGAAUAACAGUAGCAACAGGGCCUAUGAUCAAGCACUGGUUUACGCUCACCCAGAAAUGAUAUCCGACGCAGACUACACACACUGUAACAUGUGACCCUUUUAAAAAGGAAGAGACAACACAAACUUUGUUACAGUUUUUAAUAUGAAAAACAUGUUUCUUGGAAAACAAACCCUGAAUGUCCAAAAGUGUCUUCUUUAAAAACAAACAAACAAUAUGUUGUUGCUGGCAUAAAGAAAACAAAUAAUAAGAAACUACAUAAGUGCAUGUGCACACACGGGUCAAUAAAAAUGGGAAUUCAGAUCUUCCAGAUGAUUUUCUGUAAAUAUAUAGUUAUAUAGAUAUAUGUGUAUGUUUGUGUGUUGUUUCUUAAAACAGCUCACUUCUGUAUUAAUUGUAAAAAUAAGCAAGGAUGUGUUGUUAAAUGUAUGUUAACAAUUCUAAAUAAAAUACUUUCUCAUA